rnacentral:rRNA from 1 species
AGAAUCAACGCUGGCGGCGUGCCUAACACAUGCAAGUCGAACGAGAAAGUGGAGCAAUCCAUGAGUACAGUGGCGACCGGGUGAGUAACACGUGACCAAUCUACCUUCGAGUGGGGGAUAACUCCGGGAAACCGGGGCUAAUACCGCAUAACAUCUUUGGAAUGCAAAUUCCGUUGAUCAAAGGAGCAAUUCGCUUGAAGAGGAGGUCGCGGCUGAUUAGCUAGUUGGCGGGUAAUGGCCCACCAAGGCGAAGAUCGGUA